UCGGACGACCAUAUGCUCCCAUUGGGGGCUGCACCACGCCUUCCCCGCACCGAGGUCACCGUGGCCCUCUCCUCCCCAGAUCCGGUGAGCCCCCCAUGGACCUCUCAUCCCCAGAUCUGGUGAGCCCCCCGGCGGCUCCAUCCACCUCUCCCUCCUAAUCUGUUGCGGAGCACAUCAAGCACGCAUCUUUACUUUGGCGUUCGUGGCAUGGGUGCUGCAGUUUGCUGCCUCCCAUGCAGCAGCACUCCGGCGGGCAACGUGCAGUUCCCUGCUCCCUCGACGACACUUUGGCAAGUGGUUCAGAUGACGCCCCCGAGCUCCUCUUCCCUCCUGGCCAUGAGAGAACGGGCGUUGUGCUGCAGUUUUCUCCAUGUGCGGAUGCAGCACAAACCGCGAGCAGGAAGCUGACGGUACAUUGGUGGUUUGCGUGCAGUACACCUCCUGUGACAAAAAAUGAUGCAGCUCAAAAAGUUCAGUGAUGCAGUAUGCACUACUCGUUGAUGCAGUGCGGUUCCCAUAAACAAUGUGUGGCGAUGCAGUAAGGUUGGUGCCUGCGUGCUGUUCCGAUAAGCAGAGCGCGAAGUUGUAGUCUGGUUGCCGUCGCGUGCGAUUCCCAGGUGUGGUGAUGCUGAUAGUUUCCUUGUGUAGCUCGUUUUCUUAUCUAGACACCGUGCGGUUCAUCAACAAAAGAAGGUUUGCUUAUUUUUAUCCUGCAGUUCAGUUCGACGAGCUUCCCUCUUGUGCGAUUCAGAGGGACCAAAAAAACAGGGUGUUUGUUUCAAUAAAAUCUACAUCAUGUGGUGGUGCAUUGCAUUCAUGCGGUUUGGGCUGGUGCACUUGCAGUACGGUGCAUCGGCAGACGAAGUUCUUUGUGGUUCGCUCUGAGAAACAUUGAUACAAUACACUUAUCUCGUCUCAGCAGUCAUGGAGCAUUCAUAAAAAAAUGAGAAAGAAAAAAAGAAAAAAUAAUAGUGCAGCUCAGUAACCUCAACCCUGCAAACUUACGAAAGCAUUUUACAAAAAAAUGCAGUACACUAGCCUCGAUAAUUUAGUUUGAACGUAUUUAUACGAAAGUAGUUUGAAAACGAUAAAAAAUUCCAUUCAGUGCACUUUAAUUUGUGUAGGGGUUCAC
rnacentral:lncRNA from 1 species